UGCCUGGAUGCCCUGCUUACCCAGCCUGGCACUAAGGCAAAACCUAAGCAGCCCUUCUUGUUCUCAUCUGUCUUGAACUCCUUGAGGUUAGUGCAGAUGGAGGCAAGAUCAGGAGUUUGUGAUCACAGAGACAAAAGCAGCAUCAACCCACAAUCUUGGGCCUCUGGAAUGUCAGUGACAAACUAGAUUCCAAAUAUAUAUAGGCAAUACAAAGAGAGAACCAUUCUCUGCUUUCAAUAGGACAGAAGAGCUCCUUGGCACUGGAUGCCUCCGGGUCUGGUUGAGAGAGGAAUGGUUAGGAGAUUGUUCUGAGGAUAUGCAGACAUCAUCCAAAGCUUCCUACAUUCAGAUGAGGACAGAGGUUGGGCUAGAGCUUUGUAUGCUUGUUACCUAAGUAUGGUUCUGACCAUGUAAGCAGAUCACAGAAGCACUGUUCACAAUAGCAAAGUCUUGGAACCAAUCCAAAUGCCCAUCAAUGAAAACCUGGAUAAAGAAAAUGUGGCACAUACACAGCAUGGAAUACUAUGCAUCCAUAAAAAAGGAUGAGUUCAUGUCCCUUGCAGGGACAUGGAUGAAGCUGGAAAACAUCAUUCUCAGCAAACUAACCUGGAGGCAAAUAAUGCCAAGAUGGGAAAGCCACAUAAUGGAAGGAUCCCAGAUUUCAGAGCUGUCACUUGGAGGAGGGGCACAC
rnacentral:antisense_RNA from 1 species